rnacentral:rRNA from 1 species
GAUGAACGCUGGCGGCGUGCCUAAUACAUGCAAGUCGAGCGAACGGACGAGAAGCUUGCUUCUCUGAUGUUAGCGGCGGACGGGUGAGUAACACGUGUAUAACCUACCUAUAAGACUGGGAUAACUUCGGGAAACCGGAGCUAAUACCGGAUAAUAUUUUGAACCGCAUGGUUCAAAAGUGAAAGACGGUCUUGCUGUCAGUUAUAGAUGGAUCCGCGCUUUAUUAGCUAGUUGGUGGGGUAACGGCUUACCAAGGCAACGAUGCAUAGGCGGCCUGAGAGGGUGACCGGCCAGCGGGGGACGGAGAUACGGCCCAGACUGAUACGGGGGGCAGUAGUGUGGAAUAUUGCACAAUGGGAGGAAGCCUGAUGCAGCAACGCCGCGUGCGGGAGGACGGCCGUCGGGUUGUAAACCGCUUUCGCCGGUGACGAAGCGUGAGUGACGGUAAUGGGUAAAGAAGCACCGGCUAACUACGUG